rnacentral:rRNA from 1 species
CCUACGGGUGGCAGCAGUAGGGAAUAUUGCUCAAUGGGGGAAACCCUGAAGCAGCAACGCAGCGUGGAGGAUGAAGGUUUUCGGAUUGUAAACUCCUUUUGUUAGAGAAGAUAAUGACGGUAUCUAACGAAUAAGCACCGGCUAACUCCGUGCCGGCAGCGGCGGGAAUACGGAGGGUGCAAGCGUUAUUCGGAUUCACUGGGCGUAAAGAGCGCGUAGGCGGGAUAGCAAGUCAGAUGUGAAAUCCUAUGGCUUAACCAUAGAACUGCAUUUGAAACUGUUAUUCUAGAGUAUAGUAGAGGUAGGUGGAAUUCUUGGUGUAGGGGUAAAAUCCGUAGAUAUCAAGAGGAAUACUCAUUGCGAAGGCGACCUGCUAGAACAUAACUGACGCUGAUGCUCGAGAGCGUGGGUAGCAAACAGGAUUAGAUACCCCUGUAGUC